CAGGGAAGAAGAAGGCAGAAUCAGGGAGAUGCCAGCAGCCACAGGGGAAGCAAGAUGUGAGAUGAGAAACUGUGAGUUCCUUCCAGGCUAAUAAUAAUUGAUCAAGUGAGACCCCCUGAGAGGCCUCCAAUGAAAGAUAUGGCCCAGUGAAACACAUCUGCUCCUGGUAGCACCAAUUACUUAAAGAAGAUGAUGGGCAUCAAAGAAGCUCCUUAUGGAGCUUGCUUUCAAAGUGGCAAGAAACUGUUUUUGCCUGUACUGCUUGAUGGCAUGCUGUAUAAACUGGACAUGUAGGACCCAUAGGAAAAUGAUUGCUGAAUUUGCCAAAACAAGAUGGGAUGAUCCUUCAGGAUUCAUGCUUCAUGAAAGAGUCUGCCAGACAUUCUGAAGGACACAGAGGAAAAUGACUAAUGAAUUUUGCCAAAAUAGGCAAAGUCCCUUCAAAGUCCCUCCUUCAUUGAGAAAUCUGUCUAUGCUCUAUGCCUAAAGGCUGAAGAUGGAUGCCCCAACACUACAGAAGGACUUUGGGUGACUGUCCAGGCAUCUAGAUGCCUUUGUCAUUUCUAGAGUUUUGGAAGUUGCUUACAAUGCACUUCCUGUUUACUUAGGUAAUAUUAUAUCCUUCUGGGAUCUUUGAUGGAGCUG
rnacentral:lncRNA from 1 species